rnacentral:lncRNA from 1 species
CAUUUAAUUAGGAACCUCUGGAGGAUAAGUUGCAAGAAAUGAGGAUAUCCUUUUUAAAUAUUAUUUAUUAUUUAUAUAGGCUAUAUCAUGUGUAUACAGAAGCUAUUUACAAAUUAAUAUUUUUAAUUCAUCUUUGACCACAUUACAUACGUAAAUACAUUAAGUGAGUGAGGUCUAUGUAUAGUUUAUGUUGUCACCGAUGAUUAAGCCCCCAAAACAUUUUUUUUUGUGUAAAUCAUUAAAUAAACUGCUUGAUAAAUGAAUUAUAUAUUGACAAUUCACUUGAAAACUUAACAUCUACGAGCAUCUACCCCGGUGACACUGACUAAGCAGAUACUCCUUUAUUAUCAUAAAUAUGGUCUAUCAUCGGUUCCUUUGGAAUUUCAUCCAAGGAUGAAGAACUGGGCCUUCCCUCACUGUAUUUGAUAUCUAAAUUACAAACUACGUUAUAUGAUCUUAUAUAAUUAUUGAUGGGUCUUCCAAGUGCUCUACAAAACAUUUUUCUAAAUGAUUAACAUUUUAACAGCAAUGAAAGCAGGGCAUCAAAGUUAUUGUGAGAAGUGAAUAAUUAAGGCUUUUUGCAAAUGGUCAUUGACCUUUACUUUUAAUCUCUAAGCAUAGUGUCUCAUCAAUGUGGUUUUCGAGUUCGCCUUUACAUAUACGAUCGAUAUAUCAUCCUUGACUUCAAGUCUAAACCUCCUGAUUGCACUUGUGCUAGUUCCCAAUUCAUAUAUAAUCCUGCUGGCCACGUUAUUACCGGUGACCUCAACAUUGUUAAUAGGCACUGGCUACGGUUACAUGGAAAUGUAACAAUAAUUAAAAUAUUAUUGUUACAUUGGAGACUAAUUGCCGGAAUGCAAAGUUGGAUAAGGAACCGAUUAAUUACGAAUGUAACAAUAAUUAUUGAGGCUACGGUUACAUUGCGUUAUUGUUACAUGAAAAACAG